UACGUAGGGCGCAAGCGUUGUCCGGAAUUACUGGGCGUAAAGCGCGUGUAGGCGGCCCGGUAAGUCCGCUGUGAAAGUCGGGGGCUCAACCCUCGAAUGCCGGUGGAUACUGUCGGGCUAGAGUACGGAAGAGGCGAGUGGAAUUCCUGGUGUAGCGGUGAAAUGCGCAGAUAUCAGGAGGAACACCAAUUGCGAAGGCAGCUCGCUGGGACGUUACUGACGCUGAGACGCGAAAGCGUGGGGAGCAAACAGA
rnacentral:rRNA from 1 species